rnacentral:rRNA from 1 species
CAUAUUUUAGAGCCUAAAUCAAAAAAUCAAAUUUAAUUUAAUUACUUUCAAAUCCACCUUCAUAAAAUUUUUACAAAUUUUAAUCCAUUUAAAUAAAUUUAUUGUAACCCAUUUCUUCUUAUUCAUAAACUGCACCUUGAUCUGAUUUAUUUUAAAAUAAUAAAUUUUGAAUAUUAAAUUCUAAUGAAAUAUUCAACUACGACGAUAUACAAAUUAAUAAAAUAAGUACAAUUAAUCGUGGAUUAUCGAUUACAGAACAGGUUCCUCUGAAAAGACUAAAAUACCGCCAAAAUUUUUAAUUUUCAAGAACAUAACUAUUAAUAAUCAGAUUUUUAAACUUAAAGUUUA